UACGGAGGGUGCAAGCGUUAAUCGGAAUUACUGGGCGUAAAGCGUGCGCAGGCGGUUUGUUAAGUCCGUUGUGAAAGCCCCGAGCUCAACUUGGGAAUUGCAGUGGAUACUGGCAGGCUCGAGUGCGGGAGAGGAAAGUGGAAUUCCUGGUGUAGCGGUGAAAUGCGUAGAUAUCAGGAGGAACACCGGUGGUGUAGACGGCUUUCUGGACCGUAACUGACGCUGAAACACGAAAGCGUGGGUAGCAAACAGG
rnacentral:rRNA from 1 species